UAAAAAUGGACGUCGACUCUGAGUCAGCGGUCAUGUCUAAUACAUCAACGUCGUGAUAGUUCAAGUUAAGAUAACGUGACGUGUACAAAAUGUGUUUCCACACUGUGAAAACUGAGUGAUCUGUGCCAACAGAAGGAGGACCUCAUGUACAGAGCAGCACAUUAGUUUCCAUUCAUCUGGUUGUGGAGAAGGGAGACUGCAUGGACAUCCUUAGUUCUCUAAUGUGCUGUGAUGAUGAUGAUGAUGAUGAUGAUGAUGAUGAUGAUGAUGAUGAUGCUAGAAAACCUCCCAGUUCAUCUUCCUCUGAUGAAAUGACAGACUAACUGCUGAUGAGUUUGUUUAUUAUUCUCUGUCUUCAGUAUUCACAGGUUCAGUUUCUUACCUGCAGCUUCAUUUCUGCUGUUGUCGACAGGUGAUGGUAGCAACACUUUUAAGAUCAGAAUUUAUAAAUAUUAAACUGUGAUCAAGUGAUGGAUCAACUCUAGCACUGUCACCACCUCCAUAGGUCAAAGUAUUUACCAAUUAACAUCAGCAUGUUUUUUGAUCCUUCAUUGUCAGUGUUAUCAGACAACAUUUAAAACAUUUGUAGUAUUUAUAUUGUUGAUUAAAGCUAACAUAGAAAUAGUCACACAAUGCUGUACGUGUUACUAUUGUGAAAAUUCAUACCAGAUGUGUUUCUAUAAAAACCAUCAACUAAGUUAAAGCAAGAGCUUCAUAAAUAACUUUAUUGGACAUUAUAAACAACAUUAAUUUAAACAAUUUCCAACACUGGAAACAUGUAUAAAAGAAUGUAAUAAAUUGUUUUAAUUAAAUACUGUAGUGUACAAUUUACAAUCAUCUGUAACUAUUUAAAAUCAAAAUACAGUUGUGGAUUAAGUUAUAGCUGAAUUUCACUGUCAUAUGUAAGUUUGCUUAAUAAAAAAUAAGUUGUUGAAUCAACAGCAACAGUAUUUUUAGUAACAAGUAUAAUAAUUAUUCAUCAUGAGUCCUAAUGUGUGAGACAGUUAAUAUUUAUUUGCUCCAGUAACAAUCUCCCUCUAAAUAAGUGAUGCUGUUGGAACAGCACACUGAUAUUAACUAUAAUGGCUGAGGACUAUGAAAUAUGAAAUCUAAUGUUUUAAACUAUUGACAGUUUGUUACAGCUGCAGUGGAGUCCAAAAGUCAUGUGAUUGUAUGUCUGACGUGGGGCAGAGAGUGUAAUACGACAGUGAGGGUGUAGCAGUGGCGAUUGCUCUAAGACUGCAAGGGAAGCUCAGCUUCCCCUAAAAUGUCAACAAAAUAAGUGGUCAAAUAUGUUCUGUUGUAUGUACAUUUCACUGACUAAAUAUGCGCUAGAACACGUUCAUCUUUUGUUCAGAAUCAGCUACUUAUCACAGGUAACCGACAGGACUUCCUCCUCAUUCCUCCCCGCAGCGCCACAGAGCUUUACACAGUGUAGACACCGAGCGUCUCCUGACGUCACUGGGGAAGCAGAGAGUGGGUUGUUCCACUGCAGCGAAACUAGACGGUGAUUGGAUAAAUGCUGGGCUUUGUCCCGCCCAUCGGACGCUCAGCGUCUCUGGGGGUCUAUGGGGCAGUGGGCUGGCCCGGACGCUCGGCUUCUGCAUGAUGAUUGGAUGAUCUGUCUGAGGCUGAGUCCCUUUUUGAUUGACAGCGAAAUGAGCGAAUCAGCGAUCUUGAAGUAUAAGCCUCCACCGGAGCAGUUUUCAAGUUUUUCAUUCCGUUGUUCGGAGUUGAUCUGGAGACGUUACUGAUCCUCAGCGACUUUGUCUUUGUUAAAAACGACUAGCGUUGUGUUUGGCGACUCUCUUCUGUCACUCUGCGAAUUUACAUAUAAAUAAACGGACACAUUUUAUGAUGUAGGCCGAAAAUGAGCUUCCCCUCCUUAUAGGACCAGCAGCCGCCACUGGGGUAUAGGGAACCAGGAAGAGCACAGCUGAUCAGACUCAACAAUGUUAUGGCCACAAGUGUUCGUAUCAUGAAGACUGCCAACAUACGGUGACUGGGAGGACCGUGCCAUGACGUCAUAUACUGACACAAGCAACCAACAUGGCAGCAGUGAACUGACACCUGGCUCUGUGAGCAGACAGUAAGGGAAAUACUCAGUGAGUAAAAUUUCCAGGGCUGUUGUAUCUUCUUUGCUUGCAGAAAUCAUCUGCCUGGUGCUGGAUGUGAGUCUCACAGCGUCGGAGGUUUUACUUUCUCAGCAAAGUGGUUCCAUAAAGGGUUUAUAUCUUGAUGCUUCAUGUGAACAGUGCAACAUCUACUGGCCUGAAUGCAAAAUGGGCAAAUACAAACGUUUGUACAUCACAGAUUUUAUGUAAGUAUAGGGGUAAGCAUGAUUGCAUUUUAUAAUGCAAGCAUAGAUUUAUAUACUGUAAAAGCAUAUUUAUAUAUAUAGAUAGAUAUAUAUACACAGACAGACAGAAACACACAAACACAAUCUCCACAAUUUGGAUUACCUUCAAAAUAAAAGUCUCAACAUGGUAAGAGGGAAUUACUGGCUCUGUUGUUCUAAACUUUAUGCAAUUUAUACUGCGAAACACAGAAGCACAAACACUUUCAAAAUAAGAGUCUCAAAAAGGUAAGAGGUCAUAGGUCAUAAAAGUUCGAUCUUAGAAGCCAUUGUCUAUAUGGGGAUAUAGUGGUAUAGCUUUAUUGCAGAUCAACUUCUGUAAGGGCAUGUACGUGUAUGCAUCCAUGUACAUGUGUGUGUACAUGUCUUGCUGUGGUUGUGGGGACACAUUUGUGUUUGAAACCAUCAGUGUGAGUUUAUUUUGGCCAGUUGUGACGGCUUCAAAAGGCUUUCUGAGGGACAUUUGCAGUGACUGAGGUCAGUGUCAGGAUGAGUCUCUACGACAUGAAUGAAACUGAAAGUCACGUCCUUUGUGCAGAUUGAAACGAGGAGUGAAGUUCAGGCACCAAGCAGCAGCAACAUUCAAAAUCUCUCCAGGAGUUUUCUAGUUUUGUUUAUUAUUCUGUCCUCAGUGUUCAAAGACUCACUUUCUUGCCUUUUACUUCAUUUCUACUGUUGUUGAUGGAUGAUCAGUAGGAAACAGAUGGAACUGACCCACCAGAACUGCAACCUGGAGCAGAACCAGACUCUUCAUAGAUGUGAUGCUGUGACCUCAGAGACGGAUGUGUUCACCUCACACACUCUUUAGUGUGAACUGAACACUGACAGUUCAGAUUGUGAAGCAGGUGUCAGUGUAGUACAGCUCAUGUUCAUUAGUUUUAUUCAGAACUUCAUUGUUGUUUAAUAAAUAAACCUUCUGUGAUUAAAUUGUA